CGGGGCGUAGCGUAGCCUGGUAACGCACUUGCUUUGGGAGCAAGGGAUCGCUGGUUCGAAUCCAGUCGCCCCGACCA
rnacentral:tRNA from 1 species